rnacentral:rRNA from 1 species
GAUGAACGCUAGCUACAGGCUUAACACAUGCAAGUCGAGGGGUCUCAAGGGAGCUUGCUUCUGCGAGACGACCGGCGCACGGGUGAGUAACGCGUAUCCAACCUGCCCUUCAUAUUGGGAUAGCCUUACGAAAGGGAGAUUAAUACAGAAUAACAUGAGAAGAUUGCAUGAACCUCUCAUGAAAGCUCCGGCGAUGAAGGAUGGGGAUGCGUUCCAUUAGGUAGUAGGCGGGGUAACGGCCCCACUAGCCGACGAUGGAUAGGGGUUCGGAGAGGAAGGUCCCCCACACUGGAACUGAGACACGGUCCAGACUCCUACGGGAGGCAGCAGUGAGGAAUAUUGGUCAAUGGGCGCAAGCCUGAACCAGCCAAGUAGCGUGAAGGAAGACUGCCCUAUGGGUUGUAAACUUCUUUUAUACGGGAACAAACCCCGGUACGUGUACCGGAUUGCGUGUACCGUAUGAAUAAGCAUCGGCUAACUCCGUGCCAGCCGCCGCAGUAAGAC